CCCCGCCCCCUGGCGCGCGGGCGUGCAGGACCCGCAGAGAUCUCUGCGUUUCGGAAGCUCUUGGUGUGGCUGCGAGCCGAGCCGAGAGGAGAAGCUGGGCUCGUGGGGUUGCUGCCGCCGUCACAGGAAAUAAGUAACCAUGGUGCUCAACAGUUUGGAUAAGAUGAUUCAUCUCCAGAAAAACACUGCCAACAUCAGGAAUAUUUGUGUUUUGGCUCACGUUGACCAUGGAAAAACUACUCUGACUGACUGUCUUAUAUCUAGCAAUGGAAUCAUCUGCAGCCGCCUAGCAGGCAAGGUACAACUGUAACCGCUAUGAUGAGGAUGAUGCAAAGGCAGCAACAGAUGCACAGGAGGCUUGAUGAUACCAUGAUUUUUUCUAUAACAACAAUGACGUCUUCAGUGGUGCACUCCUUCCAGACUUCCAUGAUGUUCUGUCGGGGUUCUCUUCGAUAGCAUUGACAGUCCUUUCCAGAGGCUUGAUCUUUACAUUUGUUUACAUUUCUCUCAACUGUGAAUGGUACCAUAUACAUUCUGUAAGAGUUUGUGUGCAUAAGUUUUGACAACUCUGUACUCUUUAUUAAUAGAUUUAUGUAUAUUUUAUGGUAGUAAAUGAUAACAGACUACAUAUGUUUUAUGCAUUCAUGACAACUCUUUUUCUUAAUGUUGGUUUGUCUGCAAGUGUUUUCAAAUUGUUGCAAACCUCCAAAAAAAUUUCAAUGUGUUUAUUGAAAAAAAUCCACAUGUAAGUGGACUCACAGUUUAAUCAAGCACUUAGAGUUCACAAGUUUCUCACUUGAUAAUCUUGUAUUUUUUAUUUCAAGUGUGGUAUAGUAGUAAGAAUAUUGAUAUUUAUCAGCCAUAGUUUUCCCUUUUGUAAAAUGGGAAUACUAAUAGACACUGUAAUUUGUUGAGUGCUUUUUGCCAGAUGCCUUACUUUUGUCUGUAUCUUCCAAAGCAGCCCUAAAGCAAAAUGGGCGUUGUUACCCUAUUUUGUGAGGAAAGACACUCAUACACUACUAACUUACUCAAAAGUUACACAUUGAGUGUCUAACAGGGCCAUGCUUGUCUGAUUCCAUAUGUUCAUUCUAUUAUGCUCUUGUCUGUUACAUAGGAAUAUUGUGAGGAUCAAAGAACAUGUGAAAACAAAGCCUAGUUACAAUAAUAAGCACACCAGUGCUAACUUGGGCAAAAGAUAAGGAUACAGAGCUGUCUAAGAGACUCCCAAAGGCAGGAUGAGAUUGGACUGGGAACUAGAAAACCAUUUUGGACCCCUAAAGUGGUAUUGUCUGCCAUCUGUACAUCAUUCUCUUACAGCUCUUACUGCUGCUUUUCCUGUCAGUUACCCCAUAGCUCCAGGUAUUACAUGUUAACAUGUUAACUGUUCCAGAUCCAUGUAGAGAGAACCAAUCAGAUUCAUGGGGCAUGAUCAUCAAUACAAACAUGGGUGUUGAGAGCUUACUCAAUCAGGAAGGAGAUCUUGGAGAUCAGAGUUAGCUGGCUUCACAUCAUGGAAAUUGUCGGACAAAACUGAAAUGCCCUGAAAUUUUAAUUUUUAAAAUAUAUGUAAUGAAUUGGUAUAUGAUAGAUAAUUGUGGCUAUUUAGUCUUUACCAAAUGCUUUGUUUCCAUCUUGUUCAUUUUUAUUUUUUAUUUU